GACGAACGCUGGCGGCGUGCUUAACACAUGCAAGUCGAACGGAAAGGCCCUGCUUGCAGGGUACUCGAGUGGCGAACGGGAGAGUAACACGUGGGUGAUCUGCCCUGCACUUCGGGAUAAGCCUGGGAAACUGGGUCUAAUACCGGAUAUGACCUUCCAUGUAGUGUGGGGGGUGGAAAGAUUUAUCGGUGUGGGAUGAGCCCGCGGCCUAUCAGCUUGUUGGUGGGGUAAUGGCCUACCAAGGCGUCGACGGGUAGCCGGCCUGAGAGGGUGGACGGCCACAUUGGGACUGAGAUACGGCCCAGACUCCUACGGGAGGCAGCAGUGGGGAAUAUUGCACAAUGGGCGGAAGCCUUAUGCAGCGACGCCGCGUGGGGGAUGACGGCCUUCGGGUUGUAAACCUCUUUCGACAGGGACGAAGCUUCGGUGACGGUACCUGUAUAAGAAGCACCGGCUAACUACGUG
rnacentral:rRNA from 1 species